AUUGAACGCUGGCGGCAUGCCUUACACAUGGCAAGUCGAACGGCAGCACGGGAGCAAUCCUGGUGGCGAGUGGCGAACGGGUGAGUAAUAUAUCGGAACGUGCCCGGUCGUGGGGGAUAACGUAGCGAAAGCUACGCUAAUACCGCAUACGAUCUACGGAUGAAAGCGGGGGAUCGCAAGACCUCGCGCGAUUGGAGCGGCCGAUAUCAGAUUAGGUAGUUGGUGAGGUAAAGGCUCACCAAGCCGACGAUCUGUAGCUGGUCUGAGAGGACGACCAGCCACACUGGGACUGAGACACGGCCCAGACUCCUACGGGAGGCAGCAGUGGGGAAUUUUGGACAAUGGGCGCAAGCCUGAUCCAGCAAUGCCGCGUGCAGGAUGAAGGCCUUCGGGUUGUAAACUGCUUUGUACGGAACGAAACGGUGAGCUCUAAUACAGUUUGCUAAUGACGGUACCGUAAGAAUAAGCACCGGCUAACUACGUG
rnacentral:rRNA from 1 species